AUCAUCCCCUCCCUCGAAUCCAUUCUUGUUUUCCGUCACUUCAAACUAAACGGUACGUACAUAAGAGCUAGGAGGGGAUGUCUACUUCAAUGUAUAUUUACAUGCAUACUUGCUACAUGGUUGAAUAACCAUUAUCUGCAAUCUGUUAGCUAAUCAGCCUUUACAUAGUGGUUGAGGUGUGUGUGUUAUGCUAAUGACGUUAUCCGCUUUAAAAAUUGUUACGUGGGUGGAUAUAUGUCAAACUAAUUUAAAAUCUUUGUGACCACUGAUAUAUACCAAUAGUGACCCUCUUAUUAUUACUAUUUCUUACUAAAGUGAGGUGUUAUUGUGUCAACAAAGGUAAAAUCCCAAGAUUUUGGACUUGGCGAGGACGCAUUUUGGGAUUUCCCAUGGCCCUUCUUCGUUGGAUAAAUAACAAGGCUGCAGAGAUACUUUAAAAGUAUUUUUGUAAUAUAACCCACACCACCACAGCUCUUAAUUGUUGUCGACUAGUCAUCUGAAAAUCCUGCCAAUUCUCUUCCCUCAAAUUAAUUGGGUUACUUUUCAUUUCAAAUUAAAACUUGUGCGUGGCGAAAAAGGGUACAUGAGGUGACAAAGCGACAAUUUACAGCAUACAUCUCUACUUGGUCUAGAUUUCACAUUAUCAUAAUAAACCACGUGUAUACAAAAUAUAAAGCAAAGUUCAACAGAGCACAUAGAAGGGCAAGUUGUUGUCUACUUACAUCCGAUGACAGUCGACUUCUUCAUUAUUAUUGUCGUCUCAUGCACCAAUACAUUAAAGUAGUGUCGGUCGUGGUGCUAUAGAUUUUCGCAUUUCUGAAUACAUAGUGGGAUGAGUGUGAAAAGGGUGUGUUAUAAUUUGUGGCAGCAUUACCUUCGUCGCAAUGUCGAGGACUCGCAGAUUUCUCUCCAACGAGAACGACAAGAGUUCAACAAUUGACAAUGGAAUUGAAAGUAAGUAAAGUGAGAUUCAUUCAUUAUUUUAUGGAUAUGCGUACAUAAUUGCUGCAACCGUUCUUCUGCCAAGUUUGCAGCAGUAGAAUGACGGGCAGCUAAUUUUAUGCAGGUUUAUUAUGUAUCGAGUAGGUGAAAAUAAAGGAAGCUCCAUCCAUGCGGAUCUGGUAAAAAGUAUUUUAUAAGAUAUUCAUGGCUUCCUAUUUUAUGUCAAAAUUUGAGUCCCCGAGUUAAUAAAAGAGUUUGGAAAGUAAGUACGUACUUAAUAAAAACAAGUUCUUAAAGUUUAUUUCUUUGAGAAUUUUAUCUGUACCAGGUUAUGCAAUCACGAAUCUCAAAUUGUAAUAAAAUGCACAUGCAUCUGUAAA